rnacentral:rRNA from 1 species
UACGUAGGGCGCGAGCGUUGUCCGGAAUUAUUGGGCGUAAAGAGCUCGUAGGUGGUUUGUUACGUCCGCUGUGAAAUCCUAGGGCUUAACCCUGGGCUUGCAGUGGAUACGGGCAGACUAGAGGUAGGUAGGGGAGAAUGGAAUUCCUGGUGUAGCGGUGAAAUGCGCAGAUAUCAGGAGGAACACCGGUGGCGAAGGCGGUUCUCUGGGCCCUACCUGACACUGAGGAGCGAAAGCGUGGGGAGCGAACAGG